ACUGUAUGAGUGGGAAAGAAUCUCUCCACAGUCCACACUUUCACCGGGAUAUUUUUCCAUAUUCGAAAAUAGUGGUUUUUAGAAGCAGAACCCAUUUUGGAGAGAGAAAGAAACAAACGAAAUUCCUGGUUUGUUCAAUACUUCCUUACCUAAUCUACCAGGACCAUGCGCUGGAGAGGAUCCAAAUCCAGUUUGAGUUUUGGUUUCGUAGGAUUUCUAGAAAUCCUCAGCGCAUUGUCAGGAUGAAGGAGAAUUUAAUGUUGGUUGGUUCUCGCGGAUUCUUCUACAAAGGGGAGGUGUUCUCCAUCUUGGCGAUUUGAAAGCCAUCUGUAGUUCUGGUGUUACCAAGCUGGCCCAGUUGCUGCCAUCAUAGAAUGAUGAUUGGGCUCCUCCCCCUUCGGCCUCUCCCCCCUUGGACUCCAUCUGGAAUGCCUUGCUCUCCAUUCCCAGAGGGCCUCCUGGUAGGGGAGACAUUGUUGUUUGGUCAGCCUCUUAGUAGCCUUUUCAACUAUAAAUAAGCUUGGGACUUCAUCAGAGUUUGCGGCCACAUUUCUUCCUGGCAUAAGGUAGCUUGGUUCAAGAGUAAUAUUUCCCGCCACAUCUUCACCAUUUGGCAGGCCCUCUCCAGCUGCUUCUCAAUGCAGUCAUUUCUCAUUCACCUAUAGAUUCCGGUAUCCUCUUCUUGCUGUCUCUGCUAGAACGCUAUGGAAAAUGUGGACUACCUCUUCUUUGCUUGCUCCUUUUCCUCUACAAUUUGGUAUGGGCUUCUCAAUGAACGCUUGCCUUGAAGAAGAAAAACCCUUCCUUUAUUGAGAAAAUGGAUGUAGGUGGAUAUGUCUUAUGUUGGCAAGACAAUUUGUGACGUUGUCGGUGAGCUUUCUUUUGGUUCCACCAUUUACCAUAUUUGGAUGAAGCGCAACCUUAGGAGAUGAUCCUCUAGAUCCUUUAUAUAAAUUUCGAAGUCCAUUUAUUUUGAUGUCGGUAGCAAACUAUUUUCGGACCCCUGUCAGAGCUUCAUUGGUUUUCCAAGGAACGUGCUUAUUAUUGAUUCCUAGGGCCUUCCCCCUCCCCCCUUUUUCAUCCCCCUGUCUCCUUCUCUUGAUGGCUGGGGUCUGCUUUGCUUUUGUAUUGUUUUUCCCUUUUCAACUUCUUUAGGGGCCCCCCUGUAUUCCUCUUAUCUUUUGGUAAUGAAUUCUUUAUUCACCAAGAAAAAAGAAUUUCAAAGUUGUUGUCAUGGUAUGGCUGGAAAAUUAAAUCUGUGAAGUUUAUGAGUAAAAUGAGAUCCCUGUUACUUUAUUCAAGUUUAUUUGUAUGUGGAAAUUACUUGGGUGUCCAUUUUACGUAUAGUGUCAGAGUAUUGCUUGUAUACUAAGAUUAUUCUCCUAGCUUUAUUCUUUACUAA